GGGGAUUUAGCUCACCGGUAGAGCGCUUGCCUAGCAAGCGCAAGGCCCUGGGUUCGAUCCCCAGCUCCG
rnacentral:tRNA from 1 species